rnacentral:misc_RNA from 1 species
GCCUCUUCCGGAUAGAUUUUCAAACAAACUGGGAGAAGUUUAGGAUUAAGUUCCACACAACAUGAAAAUUAAAAUGGGUAAGCUCUUUUAAAGGGGUGAAAGCAGAACAUUGAAUAAAAAAGCCGUCCAUAAGAAUUCAUUCUAACAAAAGCCCAACAAGAGGUUACAACUGAGAGUAAAAUGAACAACACAACAAAUUUGUCAUCUUGUCAAGUCCCAAAUGCAUGAGCCAGGGACCAAUGGAUGCAAUUAAACCUCUAUGCAAUUUGGGUGUGUGGAUCGAAGAAACACAAAUACUUGAACCUCUUUACAGCAUUUUCAUGUCCUCCACAUGAAAGCCCUGAUUCCACAUUCCAAACUUAA